GGAGCACCCUGCCCACCACCCUGCUGCUGAUUGCGCUGCUGGGGCUGGCCCUGGCGCUGGGGCUCUGCUGCGCCCGCCGCACCAGGCUGCACAAGCGCCUCUGCCAGCUCAGCAAGGGGACCUCCUGCCAGUACAGCGCUGAGACCCAGGCCCGAUUCCUGGGUCCAGAAGCCCCAGACGGCUGGAGCGGGUAACGUCACUGCUGGAGCCUGGGCGUGGGGCUGUCCCUGAGCCGUCCUGCUUCACAAGGCCUCCGGUGCUGCGAUCUUCCCCUGGCAGUGCCCAUGGGGUGUGGGGCAGCCCCGGGGUGCAGGGUGUCACCUCUUCUGGUGCUGAGGGGAUCUCACAGCCGGAGCCCCGGUCAGGCAGCCAGGGCCCCCCCGAGCGCCCCCGGCCCCCACAGCGGCAUCAGGCCACAGAGCUGCAGGUCAUGCACAGCGGCAAGCCGGCUGCCCUCGGCUCGGCCCGGCCCGGUCCGCCCUCCCGGCCUCUCCCGCCAGAUCCUCCUCCCAAGCCCCCAGGUCCGGCCAAGCCCCCCCCCGCCUCAGCGGCCGCUGCCCUUGGACCCCCCGGGGCCUUCGCUUCCCCACAGCGAGACCCCUGGUCACCCCUAUGUCACGGUGAUUCCCUCCAGGUGAGCAUGGUGGCAGCUGGGGGGGGCAGGACCGGGCUGUGGGGUGCCAGGUUGGGG
rnacentral:lncRNA from 1 species